rnacentral:lncRNA from 1 species
AAAUAAUUGAGAAAAAUACAUACUGACACAAUUUGUUUUAUAAUAUAUACUGUUUAUAUUUACUGCUUUAAUGAAGUAUGUGUAAAAUAAUGAAACUGAAGACUAUAGGAAUGCAUAUAGCAGGUCACUGCAAAAGAUGAAUCAAAGAAAAAAAUAAGUUCAAGUAAACAAAAGCUUAAAAUAAUAUUUGGAAGUAGGUAAUGGAGGCUGAGGAGGAAGUGGAAGCGCAGCAUAUGACUCUUUCUCCCUGUGUGUAUGAUCUGUAUUUGCAUGUGCGUAACACACACAUAAAUAACAGAGUAAAAGAAAGUUAAAUAAAUAUAGUAAUGGAAUGAUUAAAUUUUAGAGCUUGAGAGGAUAUUAGAAAUUAUGUAGUCCUUCUCGCUUCAUUCUGAGGACAGUAUAACCUGGACAAUUUAAAUGACAUGUGUAAAACAAGAGAGUUUGGAAUUGUGAAAAGCAGCCAAUUUGGGCAAAUUUUACACUAGUUUCCAGGAAGAAAUGCAUAGAACUAAGGAGAUCAGGUGAGAGUUUUUUUGAGCUUCAUGGGGAAAAAUGCUGCUGUUAAUGAAAUUGCAGCAGUCAUUGGUCUGGAUUUGAAUGGUUCCAAUUUAAAGCUGAUCCUUAGAGCAAUGCCAUGCCAGGACAAGGAGGGAAAGAGAAGUGACAGGUGGUGUUGGAGUUGAGGACAUGAUGACAAAGGAAGUGGAAGGCUUUGAGGUGAACCUGAGAGUGACGUAAAGGCCAUGUUUGCUGUGAUUUCUUCAUGGACAUUUGAGCCUCCAAUCUGGAAAUGUUUCAGUUAGAGUGUCUUCACACAGGGAUGUCUUGGCAACUUAAUGAGAAGAAGCUAAUUUUGAUCAUCAGACAGUAUUUUCUCACUUAAACAGGCAUUUAACCAAAAGGACAAUCUCUCUGGCAAGUUUGAAGAAGCCUCUACUGGAAAAGCAAAGCAAAUAAGUACUUGCAGAAAUGCAUAGUGCUAACAAUUCAUCGUUAGUUUCUCAUUAUUUCCAUACUCUCCAAUUAAAAUGUAUCCUAGGAAUUCAGGAAUAUCACAGUACCAAGCAUUAAUGUAAAAAAAGAUUUAAUUUUUAGUAAGUUAGAAUGACUACUUUUUCUCAUUUUCCUGUUAGCAAUUAUGACCUAAAAUUUUGCAAAGAAUGAAAAUACAAAAAUGGUUAAAAAUCAAUGAAAUGAAAAUUAAUGAAGUACACUUUGUGGCAUGUUUCAAAGGUCCAUUCUUCACAUUUGUAAAGAAGAAUCCUCUAUCAUGUAGUUAAUAACAGGCAGAUUUUUUUUGUCCAGUAAGUAGGAAAAUGCUUUAAGACAUUUAUGGCAAUACCUCAAAGCUUCUGCCAAGCUAGCAGCAAUCUAAAGGAAAGCCAAUAAAUUCAUCAAUUCCAAGUGGCACUUAACCACCUAGUGUUCAAACACAUAAUUGGACAUGGGGAAUGUAGUUUCCUAACACAGGGCUUAUUGGAAGAAUAAUCUUUCAAUAAUAGUUGACAACAAAAUUUUGGUGCUAUAGACCUGGAAAAUUAGCAAGUACAAAAACAGUUCGGUUAUCGAACAGUUACACAUGAGAGAAAUUUAAAAAACUGAGAGGAAAGAAUUAGCCAAAGAAAAUAGCUGAGCAUCAGAAGGAAAUGAGAAAAGAGCAGACUUCUUUUUAGGGAAGACAUCUCAUCCUUCACACUCAGGGCAACCUAAGAUAGCAAGGUGUGAACAGCUCAGAGCAGCUGCUCCUUUCACAGAAUGGGCUUGGAAGACAUCAUCUGCCAGUUUGAUUUGCUUGGCUCCUUCAACCUAAAAGGAUCAAAAUGAAAAAUUCUGGGUGAACAAAGUUAUAUAUGUAUAUGAAGGCUAAAAUAUUUGUGCUUUCAGAAUAUGGGUCAUCAUUUCUGAUUAAUUAUUUUCUUUGACAACCUAUUUUGCAACAAAUAAACAAGAACAUGCUUGGACCAACUUUAGCGUGGUAUGCCAUGCACUGAAUGACCCCUCCAUAAUUAACAUGAUGAAACCUGAACUCUAUCUGCCUGUAUUUGGAGGUAUGGGUCUUAGGAGGUAAAGAUGAAAGAGGUCUGAAGGCUGGUGCCCUAAGUUGGUAGAACUAUUGGCCCUAUAAAAACAGAGAACUAUUUCUUUCUUUGUUAUGUGAGGACUCAGUGAGAAGACAGCUAUUUGCAAGUUCAAUGAAGAGUCUUCACAAACAAGUAGGUUAACCAGAACCUUGCCCCUUGAUUUUUACUUUUCUAAAUUGUGGUAAAAUACAUUUCUUGUUUUGAAGUCAUCCAAUCCAUGGUAUUUUAUUCUAGCAAUUUGAGCAGACUCUGACACAUGUACUUGCUAUAAAUUAACUUUCUCUAUGUUGAUUCAUUUAUUAAAUUAUUUACAUCUAUAAUUUCAUGCAAUUUCCUAGACAAUGGGGCACUGAGAUGAAAAUCACCUGAUUUCAGCAUUUAGGGAGUUUACAUUCUGAUAGCAGAGAGGACAUAUGCAUAAGUAAUUGAAAAUACAGUCAUAAGUUACAACUAAACUAUGAGAAUGACAUAAGCUUACUAUUGGUGUCAUUCAUUUAACCAUUCCACAUUUACUGUGCACUUUUUAUGUAGCAAACACCUAGAAGCAUGCUGAUGAUACAGUGGAGAAAAACCUAUGCUUCUAUGGACUAUGUGUAGUGCUGAAAAAACUCUAAUGAUAAACACAGAAAUACAAGUUGUGUGUAACUAUACUGUGCUUCAGAAUAAAAUAUAGUAAGGAGGCAGGAUAGGGAGAGCAAGCAAGGGUGGGAAUGGGUUUGGGUGAGAUUGAUUGUUUUAAUAUGGUGAUGUGGUAGGACUAAUCUUGGUAAGGUGAAAUUUGAACAAAGGUCUUAAAAAUUGACAAAGAGAACAUGAGGAUGUUGAAGAUUAGACUAUGGUACAUUGGGAGAUUAGCUCUUUGAAUUUUUGGACAUCUCAUCUCUUCUUUUUUUGAAAAUCUCAAAUUCCUGUUUUACUUGGUUGGGCCAGUGACUGCUUUGACUGGUAGCAGGGCUGCAGUGACACCAAGCUAUCUGAGCCAAUUUCAUCAAGGUCCAUGAAGCUUUCAGAGAUUCUCUUGGGGUACCCAUGUGAGGUAUCAGGAGCUGUAUGAGAUACCUACUCACCCUAAGAUCAUCACUCUGGAGAAACUACAUGUUAGCAUGUUGUUUGACAGCCUCACUUGAGCUCUUAAGCAGAAAUACCAAAAAUCAAAUGCUUCUUCAAGCCCUAGUUCGCUCACAAAAUAAUUUGGUUGUUAUUUUAUACAAUAAGGUUUUGGGUAACUGGUUACACAACAAGGAUAACUGGAAUAGAUGGAGAAGAUAAAUGAGAAAAGGGGAAAGCUAUGUGUGUGUGUGUGUGUGUGUGUGUGUGCCCACGUGUGUGUUUGUGAGGGUGCGUGUAUCAUAUAGGGCCUUCAAAGUUAUUCUACUUUUUUCAAGAGUCUAUCAAAGGAUUUUGAGAAGUUUUCCAUGAUCUGACUCACGUCUCUGAAAGACCACUCUGAGUACUGGGUGAAGAAUUGAUUGCAGAUGAACAAAAGAGCAGGUUAAAAUGAAGACUUUUUAAACAAACAAAAGUGGAGACUUUGUAAAUCACUGAAGAUAAGAAGCUAGAAGGAGAGACAUCGCAGAUGGCCAUUUAGAGAUUCAUGAGAAUUGAAGGGUAGUUUAAGUAGUAUAUAUAUAUAAGUAAAUCUUAGAAGAAUAUUGAUUGUGUAAAACAGUAAUAAUAAAUUCCUUGAAACUUAAAGUAUAAUGACAUACAAAUUAAUAACAACAAGAACACAUUGCUCAGGAUGAUGAUUAACAGAAUUAGAGUUGCUUGAUUAGGGUAAGACGUGAUAAUACUAGUAUUUUAUAUUAAAGUUAAAUAAAUCAGAUAUAAGUAAUAAUCAAUAAGGUAUACUAAGUGAAAUGCAUUCCUAAUGAACUAUUUGAAGGAAAAAGAAAUAUUUUAAUGUAAGAAGCAAAUAUAAAUGGAGAAAGAAAAUAGAAUUCAUGGACCAAGAGGAAGUGAAUAAAAAAAAUUGAAGGUCUGUAUCUAUGUGUCUACAUUAAUAACUCUAUUAAAUAUAAAUGGCUAAAUACUCUAUUUAAAUGAGAAACAUUGCUAGAUUUGGUGAAAAAGAAUAAGCAUGUGUUUAUGAGACAAACCUUAGUCACACAAACAAAAAGAUGGUGAAAAUAAAAUAGUAAAUAAUAUGUCAUUAAUAGAGAUUGAUAGAUUGAAAUUUCAUGAUAUGAGGAACUUUGCAUUAUCAAAGAAUCUUACUAAAUGUAAGUCACAAAAUGCAUAAUGUUUUAUAUUCAUAUAAUUGACAAAGAGUUUGUAUUUCCUAUAUACAAAAGAGAAAUUCCACUCAAUAGAAAAAAAAGAAAAAAGUGGGACAGGCAUUUCAUACAUACACAAUUAUCUAAAUUGCUAAGAACAUAGAUAGAUAUUUGUGAUUGCUAGUCAUCAGGAAAUUAAAACUAUAAUUUUUACAAAUGGCAUGCACAUUAGAUUGAUAAAACUGAAAGACAAGUAGUACACUGCUCUGUAAAGUGUCAGUUUCUGCAAACAUUGUGAACAACUGCUCAUCAUUAUUUACUAAGUUUGAAUAGAUGGAUAGAUUAGUAGAUAGUUAGAUCUUUUACUCUAUGGCAAUUCCACUAUUUGAGUAUAUCACACACACACACACAGAGACACACACAGACACACACACAUUUCAGAUGUUUGUGUACCAAAAGACAUGAGUAAGAAUGUUCAUAAUAGUACUAACCAAAAGAAAGGGGGAGGAUUAAGUUCUUUAUCAAAUAUACAAUAAAACUAAGUUUUAAAAAUAUUUAUGUAUUAAAAAGUAUAGAAAAAACAUGAAAACAAUGAACUAUUGGCUAAUGCAACAACACAAAUGAAAUCAUUUAUUCCUAAUGUCUUGAGGGGAAAAAUGAGAUGAAAAAAGAGUUCAUAAUGAUAAGUCUAUUAUAUAAAGAUUAAAAGAGAGAAAAUACAUCCAUAGUAUUAGCAGUGACAGAAAUGUUUACCUUUGGGAAAGAAGUAUUUAGUGAUGGGAAAACUGAUAGGGGGAUUCUGGGCUGUGAGGUGCAACACUGUAACUCCUGUCCUAGAUGACGGCUACAUGGAUUUUUUCCCUUGAUGGUGAUUCAUAGAGCCAUGUUUGUAUGUUUUGCCUUCCUAUAUUUUAUGGUAAAUAAAUAUUUACUUUAAAAUAAUGGAGGAGAAGGAAAGAUGGGUUUUUAGGAUAACUAGUACCUAGGAAGAAUAUGCUUGAUGUUUUGUCAGGCUCUUUUCAUCAUUUUCCUUUUUUUCCUCUUUCCCAGAAAACAAAGCCUAUAAUGUCAUACAAGAGUUGGCGAUUACUGGAUGGUAAAUGGCUUUGACUCCUACAUAAUGUGCAUGUAUCCAGAGUCUUGAGACUUUGAGAACACUCUAUGGAUACGAAUCUUGUAAAUUCAAUUUUUAAUCCCCCUUUGAAACUAUGACCUCCUCCUUAACAGAUUUUUUUUGUUUUUUCUAUUAUUUUGAGAAUACUUUAUUAGUUUCUGUAAUCAAACCCAUGUAGACAAGACCUUGCAUAUUUAAUACAGUGUGUUUCCCCUGUACAAAUGGAAAAUAAAAUUAAGCUUAAUGUUUCUAGACCUAUAUGGCUGUUAGUUUCCGUACAGUUUCAACUCAGCAUGGUAAACUAGGAUAAUUAUUUUGAAAGUUGACAACACAGUUAAAGUUUCCAAAAGUUUAAAUUAUAUUUAUAUUUAUUUGUAUUUGUAUUUAUAUAGCAUAUGUUAUGCAUCAAGAGCAGCAAUAGCUUUUCUUAUAGAACUCACAGCAAUUCUCCUGCCUCUUAACAGAUAUUUUAUUCAAUAUUUGCAUUUUCUAUUUAUAUUCAAGAAAUACUGAGUUCUUGCAUUAUUUUCAUUCAUUCAACCUGUAUUUACUGAGAAACUGCUGUAUGUAAUUUGUUCUUCUGUUCUUCAUGUUGAUAUCAACAGGCUGUUGCUAUAACAAAUUGAUUAUAUGUACUUUCACUUUAAUCUAUUGUAACUUUUUUUCAUGCUAUAUCACUGAAGUCCGCAAGGUCAAGAAAAAGUAUGAAAGUCCAGGGAUUCUCAGCAAAUAUAUUCCCUUCAAGGACACCAGGAGAUGAACAGGCUAACUGAGAGUUUCUUAAGGCAUUAUCAUUCUUUGCAGAAAUUUUCUAUGGAUAUCUCAGUGGUGAAUGAGAGUUGCUUCCAUGCCAAAGUAAUUACUAAUCAUAGUCACAGUCCUGAACUUCUUAUUCCAGGAAAACAACCUAGUGUAUCUGUAGCAGCAUCUCUCACAUAAUGUGGCCCUGCAUGUGGAGGGAGAAGGCACCAAGGCCACGGGUGGUGGUGGCUGAAGUUCACGGUACUCACAUAUCACCGCUGAGUUAACAUUGUGGUGAAAACUUGAGGGCUAAGUUGCGAUCUGUUCGU